rnacentral:rRNA from 1 species
AGAGAGAGACAUGCGCGCAUAUCAAUAAGCGGAGGAAAAGAAACUAACAAGGAUUCCCUUAGUAACGGCGAGUGAAGCGGGAAGAGCUCAAAUUUGAAAUCUUCAAGGUUUUACCUUGACGAAUUGUAGUUUAAAGAAGUGUUUUCUGCUGAAGUUUUGGUAAAAGUUCUUUGGAAUAGGACAUCAUAGAGGGUGAGAAUCCCGUAUUUGACCAUUAUUUUCAGCUUUGUGAUACACUUUCAAAGAGUCGGAUUGUUUGGGAAUGCAGUCCAAAAUGGGUGGUAAAUUUCAUCUAAAGCUAAAUAUUGGCGAGAGACCGAUAGCGAACAAGUACCGUGAGGGAAAGAUGAAAAGAACUUUGAAAAGAGAGUUAAACAGUACGUGAAAUUGUCAAAAGGGAAGCGUUUGACACCAGUGUUGUUUUCUCGAAAAUCAAUUAAAAAUGGCUCGAUUUUGUAUUGUUGAGACCUUAAAAGCUCACUGUACAUUUUUCGUGUCUUUUUUAAUGCACUUUUCGUUUAACAAGUCAACAUCAGUUUCUUUUGUUGUAAAAGGGUCAUUGGAAGGUGGCUUUCUUUUCGGAGAAAAGUGUUUAUAGCCUUUGGCCUCUGCAAUCGAAGAGACUGAGGAUCUGCAGCGUAGACUCUUCGGGGUUAGAUACAUUUGUGCUAAGUUAUAGCUUUUUAUAGACAACUUGUUGACUAUAAUUAGUCUUGUAGCUUACUCGCUUAUGCUAUUUUACCUACGCUUAGGAUGUUGAGUCGUAGAGCACGCAG